GGAGGGAUGUCCGAGUGGUUGAAGGAGCACGCCUGGAAAGCGUGUAUACGGCCGCAAGCCGUAUCGCGGGUUCGAAUCCCGCUCCCUCCGCCA
rnacentral:tRNA from 1 species